UUAAGCGACUAAGCGUACACGGUGGAUGCCCUGGCAGUCAGAGGCGAUGAAGGACGUGCUAAUCUGCGAUAAGCGUCGGUAAGGUGAUAUGAACCGUUAUAACCGGCGAUUUCCGAAUGGGGAAACCCAGUGUGUUUCGACACACUAUCAUUAACUGAAUCCAUAGGUUAAUGAGGCGAACCGGGGGAACUGAAACAUCUAAGUACCCCGAGGAAAAGAAAUCAACCGAGAUUCCCCCAGUAGCGGCGAGCGAACGGGGAGCAGCCCAGAGCCUGAAUCAGUGUGUGUGUUAGUGGAAGCGUCUGGAAAGGCGCGCGAUACAGGGUGACAGCCCCGUACACAAAAAUGCACAUGCUGUGAGCUCGAUGAGUAGGGCGGGACACGUGGUAUCCUGUCUGAAUAUGGGGGGACCAUCCUCCAAGGCUAAAUACUCCUGACUGACCGAUAGUGAACCAGUACCGUGAGGGAAAGGCGAAAAGAACCCCGGCGAGGGGAGUGAAAAAGAACCUGAAACCGUGUACGUACAAGCAGUGGGAGCACGCUUAGGCGUGUGACUGCGUACCUUUUGUAUAAUGGGUCAGCGACUUAUAUUCUGUAGCAAGGUUAACCGAAUAGGGGAGCCGAAGGGAAACCGAGUCUUAACUGGGCGUUAAGUUGCAGGGUAUAGACCCGAAACCCGGUGAUCUAGCCAUGGGCAGGUUGAAGGUUGGGUAACACUAACUGGAGGACCGAACCGACUAAUGUUGAAAAAUUAGCGGAUGACUUGUGGCUGGGGGUGAAAGGCCAAUCAAACCGGGAGAUAGCUGGUUCUCCCCGAAAGCUAUUUAGGUAGCGCCUCGUGAAUUCAUCUCCGGGGGUAGAGCACUGUUUCGGCAAGGGGGUCAUCCCGACUUACCAACCCGAUGCAAACUGCGAAUACCGGAGAAUGUUAUCACGGGAGACACACGGCGGGUGCUAACGUCCGUCGUGAAGAGGGAAACAACCCAGACCGCCAGCUAAGGUCCCAAAGUCAUGGUUAAGUGGGAAACGAUGUGGGAAGGCCCAGACAGCCAGGAUGUUGGCUUAGAAGCAGCCAUCAUUUAAAGAAAGCGUAAUAGCUCACUGGUCGAGUCGGCCUGCGCGGAAGAUGUAACGGGGCUAAACCAUGCACCGAAGCUGCGGCAGCGACGCUUAUGCGUUGUUGGGUAGGGGAGCGUUCUGUAAGCCUGUGAAGGUGUGCUGUGAGGCAUGCUGGAGGUAUCAGAAGUGCGAAUGCUGACAUAAGUAACGAUAAAGCGGGUGAAAAGCCCGCUCGCCGGAAGACCAAGGGUUCCUGUCCAACGUUAAUCGGGGCAGGGUGAGUCGACCCCUAAGGCGAGGCCGAAAGGCGUAGUCGAUGGGAAACAGGUUAAUAUUCCUGUACUUGGUGUUACUGCGAAGGGGGGACGGAGAAGGCUAUGUUGGCCGGGCGACGGUUGUCCCGGUUUAAGCGUGUAGGCUGGUUUUCCAGGCAAAUCCGGAAAAUCAAGGCUGAGGCGUGAUGACGAGGCACUACGGUGCUGAAGCAACAAAUGCCCUGCUUCCAGGAAAAGCCUCUAAGCAUCAGGUAACAUCAAAUCGUACCCCAAACCGACACAGGUGGUCAGGUAGAGAAUACCAAGGCGCUUGAGAGAACUCGGGUGAAGGAACUAGGCAAAAUGGUGCCGUAACUUCGGGAGAAGGCACGCUGAUAUGUAGGUGAAGUCCCUCGCGGAUGGAGCUGAAAUCAGUCGAAGAUACCAGCUGGCUGCAACUGUUUAUUAAAAACACAGCACUGUGCAAACACGAAAGUGGACGUAUACGGUGUGACGCCUGCCCGGUGCCGGAAGGUUAAUUGAUGGGGUCAGCGCAAGCGAAGCUCUUGAUCGAAGCCCCGGUAAACGGCGGCCGUAACUAUAACGGUCCUAAGGUAGCGAAAUUCCUUGUCGGGUAAGUUCCGACCUGCACGAAUGGCGUAAUGAUGGCCAGGCUGUCUCCACCCGAGACUCAGUGAAAUUGAACUCGCUGUGAAGAUGCAGUGUACCCGCGGCAAGACGGAAAGACCCCGUGAACCUUUACUAUAGCUUGACACUGAACAUUGAGCCUUGAUGUGUAGGAUAGGUGGGAGGCUUUGAAGUGUGGACGCCAGUCUGCAUGGAGCCGACCUUGAAAUACCACCCUUUAAUGUUUGAUGUUCUAACGUUGACCCGUAAUCCGGGUUGCGGACAGUGUCUGGUGGGUAGUUUGACUGGGGCGGUCUCCUCCUAAAGAGUAACGGAGGAGCACGAAGGUUGGCUAAUCCUGGUCGGACAUCAGGAGGUUAGUGCAAUGGCAUAAGCCAGCUUGACUGCGAGCGUGACGGCGCGAGCAGGUGCGAAAGCAGGUCAUAGUGAUCCGGUGGUUCUGAAUGGAAGGGCCAUCGCUCAACGGAUAAAAGGUACUCCGGGGAUAACAGGCUGAUACCGCCCAAGAGUUCAUAUCGACGGCGGUGUUUGGCACCUCGAUGUCGGCUCAUCACAUCCUGGGGCUGAAGUAGGUCCCAAGGGUAUGGCUGUUCGCCAUUUAAAGUGGUACGCGAGCUGGGUUUAGAACGUCGUGAGACAGUUCGGUCCCUAUCUGCCGUGGGCGCUGGAGAACUGAGGGGGGCUGCUCCUAGUACGAGAGGACCGGAGUGGACGCAUCACUGGUGUUCGGGUUGUCAUGCCAAUGGCACUGCCCGGUAGCUAAAUGCGGAAGAGAUAAGUGCUGAAAGCAUCUAAGCACGAAACUUGCCCCGAGAUGAGUUCUCCCUGACUCCUUGAGAGUCCUGAAGGAACGUUGAAGACGACGACGUUGAUAGGCCGGGUGUGUAAGCGCAGCGAUGCGUUGAGCUAACCGGUACUAAUGAACCGUGAGGCUUAACCUU
rnacentral:rRNA from 1 species